rnacentral:rRNA from 1 species
UAUAUUGCACAAUGGAGGGAACUCUGAUGCAGCAACGCCGCGUGAGUGAAGAAGGAUUUCGUAUCUUAAAACUCUGUCAUUGGGUAAGCAUAAAUGACGGUACCCAAUGCGGUAGCUCCGGCUACCGACUGCCUAGCAGCCGCGGUAAUACGUAGGUGGCGAGCGUUGUCCGGAAUUACUGGGCGUAAAGGGUACGUAGGCGGCUAUAUAAGUCAGGUGUGAAAUACCAGUGCUUAACACUGGAAUUGCAUUUGAAACUGUGUAGCUUGAGUGCAGGAGAGGAAAGUGGAAUUCCUAGUGUAGCGGUGAAAUGCGUAGAGAUUAGGAGGAACACCAGUGGCGAAGGCGACUUUCUGGACUGUAACUGACGCUGAGGUACGAAAGCGUGGGUAGCGAACA